UACAGAGGGGGCAAGCGUUAUUCGGAAUUAUUGGGCGUAAAGGGCGCGUAGGCGGCCUGGCAAGUGGAUGGUGAAAUCCCUCGGCUUAACCGAGGAACUGCCAUCCAGACUGCUUGGCUUGAGACCGGGAGAGGUGAGUGGAAUUCCCAGUGUAGCGGUGAAAUGCGUAGAUAUCUGGAGGAAUACCGGUGGCGAAGGCGGCAUCCUGGACCGGCAUUGACGCUGAGGAGCGAAAGCCAGGGGAGCAAAUGGG
rnacentral:rRNA from 1 species